rnacentral:rRNA from 1 species
CCUACGGGACGCAGCAGUCGGGAAUAUUGCACAAUGGAGGAAACUCUGAUGCAGUGACACCGCGUAUAGGAAGAAGGUUUUCGGAUUGUAAACUAUUUUAGACAGGGAAGAAAAAAGACAGUACCUGUAGAAUAAGCUCCGGCUAACUACGUGCCAGCAGCCGCGGUAAUACGUAGGGAGCAAGCGUUAUCCGGAUUUACUGGGUGUAAAGGGAGCGUAGACGGUUCUGCAAGCCAGAUGUGAAAGCCCGGGGCUCAACCCCGGGCCUGCAUUUGGAACUGUAAGGCUAGAGUGUCG